UGAGGGAAUAUUUGGGUCAAUGGGCGAGAGCCUGAACCAGCCAAGUAGCGUGCAGGACGACGGCCCUAUGGGUUGUAAACUGCUUUUAUAAGGGAAUAAAGUGAGUCUCGUGAGACUUUUUGCAUGUACCUUAUGAAUAAGGACCGGCUAAUUCCGUGCCAGCAGCCGCGGUAAUACGGAAGGUCCGGGCGUUAUCCGGAUUUAUUGGGUUUAAAGGGAGCGUAGGCCGGAGAUUAAGCGUGUUGUGAAAUGUAGAUGCUCAACAUCUGCACUGCAGCGCGAACUGGUUUCCUUGAGUACGCACAAAGUGGGCGGAAUUCGUGGUGUAGCGGUGAAAUGCUUAGAUAUCACGAAGAACUCCGAUUGCGAAGGCAGCUGACAAGGCUACAACUGACGCUAAAGCUCGAAAGUGCGGGUA
rnacentral:rRNA from 1 species